AGAGUUUGAUCAUGGCUCAGAACGAACGCUAGCGGCGUGCUUAACACAUGCAAGUCGAACGAGAAAGGUCCUUCGGGGCUAAGUAAAGUGGCGCACGGGUGAGUAACACGUGGGUAACGUACCCUCGGGUGGGGAAUAACGGGCCGAAAGGCUCGCUAAUACCGCAUAAGACCACAGCCCUCGCGGGGGCAGGGGUCAAAGGGGGCUACUUUCGGGUAGUUCUCGCCUGAGGAGCGGCUCGCGGACCAUUAGCUAGUUGGUAGGGUAACGGCCUACCAAGGCUACGAUGGUUAGCUGGUCUGAGAGGAUGAUCAGCCACACUGGAACUGGAACACGGUCCAGACUCCUACGGGAGGCAGCAGUGGGGAAUAUUGCGCAAUGGGGGAAACCCUGACGCAGCAACGCCGCGUGAGUGAAGAAGGCCUUCGGGUUGUAAAGCUCUGUCAGUUGGGAAGAAAUCNCGGGGUAACCCCUCGUGACUGACGGUACCUUCAAAGGAAGCACUGGCUAACUCCGUGCCAGCAGCCGCGGUAAUACGGAGAGUGCAAGCGUUGUUCGGAAUUACUGGGCGUAAAGAGCAUGUAGGCGGCCUAGUCAGUCUGGUGUGAAAGCCCGGGGCUCAACCCCGGAAGUGCAUUGGAUACUGCUAGGCUUGAGUACUGGAGGGGAAAGCGGAAUUCCGAGUGUAGAGGUGAAAUUCGUAGAGAUUCGGAGGAACACCUGUGGCGAAGGCGGCUUUCUGGACAGAUACUGACGCUGAGAUGCGAAAGCGUGGGGAGCAAACAGGAUUAGAUACCCUGGUAGUCCACGCAGUAAACGAUGGAUACUAGGUGCUACGGGGUAACCACCCCUGUAGUGCCGUAGCUAACGCAUUAAGUAUCCCGCCUGGGGAGUACGGCCGCAAGGCUAAAACUCAAAUGAAUUGACGG
rnacentral:rRNA from 1 species